AUAAUCACAAUCUAACAUGUAUUUAUAACGAUUUUAAACAUAUAAGCACCCAAGUACACUGUGUCAAUGUCUGUGAUAAUAUUUGAUUCAGCAUGAAACCCAUUUAUCCCAAAUGGGAGUGCUCCGACAUAAAUAGAAAACAGAAGAAAAUACCUGUACAGAACAAAACAUUGGUUUCCUUCCUCCUUACUUAGAUUCCCUAUCAAAAUAUGUUCGUUGUUAGAAAUAAACUUCAAAGAACUUCGGAAAUAAAUGCCUUCAACUGCAAUAUGCUGGCGAUACAAAACUAUCCAUACCCCCUGCAUGUUUAUGCACCUGUCCUGAUUGAUUCAGGGGCCUGUCGUUCAGCAGUUAGAUAUCGUUCGUUGAUGUUCAUA
rnacentral:lncRNA from 1 species